rnacentral:rRNA from 1 species
AUUGAACGCUGGCGGCAUGCUUUACACAUGCAAGUCGAACGGUAACAGGCCGCAAGGUGCUGACGAGUGGCGAACGGGUGAGUAAUGCAUCGGAACGUGCCCAGCCGUGGGGGAUAACGCAGCGAAAGCUGCGCUAAUACCGCAUACGACCUAUGGAUGAAAGCGGGGGACCGUAAUGCCUCGCGCGAUUGGAGCGGCCGAUGUCAGAUUAGGUGGUUGGUGGGGUAAAGGCUCACCAAGCCAACGAUCUGUAGCUGGUCUGAGAGGACGACCAGCCACACUGGGACUGAGACACGGCCCAGACUCCUACGGGAGGCAGCAGUGGGGAAUUUUGGACAAUGGGCGCAAGCCUGAUCCAGCAAUGCCGCGUGCAGGAAGAAGGCCUUCGGGUUGUAAACUGCUUUUGUACGGAACGAAACGGCCCUGGUUAAUACCUGGGGCUAAUGACGGUACCGUAAGAAUAAGCACCGGCUAACUACGUGCCAGCCGCCGCUGUAAAAC